rnacentral:miRNA from 1 species
GAAAAUCCAAAUGAACUUUUUU